AACGAACGCUGGCGGCAUGCCUAACACAUGCAAGUCGAACGAAGGCUUCGGCCUUAGUGGCGCACGGGUGCGUAACGCGUGGGAAUCUGCCCUUGGGUUCGGAAUAACUCAGAGAAAUUUGAGCUAAUACCGGAUGAUGACGUAAGUCCAAAGAUUUAUCGCCCAAGGAUGAGCCCGCGUAGGAUUAGCUAGUUGGUGGGGUAAAGGCCCACCAAGGCGACGAUCCUUAGCUGGUCUGAGAGGAUGAUCAGCCACACUGGGACUGAGACACGGCCCAGACUCCUACGGGAGGCAGCAGUGGGGAAUAUUGGACAAUGGGCGAAAGCCUGAUCCAGCAAUGCCGCGUGAGUGAUGAAGGCCUUAGGGUUGUAAAGCUCUUUUACCCGGGAAGAUAAUGACUGUACCGGGAGAAUAAGCUCCGGCUAACUCCGUGCCAGCCGCCGCCGUAACAC
rnacentral:rRNA from 1 species